rnacentral:lncRNA from 1 species
GGUUGGGAUGUUCUUGGUCGCUAUAACCAGCUUAUUGCUUGGAAAGGAAGAUCUAUUUCAAGGAUCGAUUCAAAAUUAGAGUACACCGAUGGUAAGGCUAAGCUUAAAAAAUAUUUUAUUUUUCCAUUUAUUUUAUUUUAUUAAAUUUAUUUUUGCAUUUUUGAACAUUUUUAUUUUAUUUUUUAUAUUUAUUUAUUUUAUUA